rnacentral:rRNA from 1 species
UACGUAGGGGGCAAGCGUUGUCCGGAUUUAUUGGGCGUAAAGAGCGUGUAGGCGGCCAGAUAGGUCCGUUGUGAAAACUCGAGGCUCAACCUCGAGACGCCGAUGGAAACCAUUUGGCUAGAGUCCGGAAGAGGAGAGUGGAAUUCCUGGUGUAGCGGUGAAAUGCGCAGAUAUCAGGAAGAACACCCGUGGCUAAGGCGGCUCUCUAGUACGGUACUGACGCUGAGACGCGAAGGCGUGGGGAGCGAACAGG